rnacentral:SRP_RNA from 1 species
GCCGGAUGUGGUGGCGCGUGCCUGUAGUCCCAGUUAUUUGGGAGGCUGAGGCUGGAGAAUGGCUUGAGCCCAGGAGUUCUGGGCUGUAGUACACUAUGCCGAUCGGGUGUCCGCACUAAGAUCGGCAUCAAUAUGGUGACCUCCCAGGAGCAGGGGACCACCAGGUUCCUUAAGGAGGGGUGAACCGGCCCAGGUCGGAAACAGAGCACGUCAAAACUCCCGUGCUGAUCAGUAGUGGGAUCACGCCUGUGAAUAACCACUGCACUGCAGCCUGGGCAACAUAGCAAGAUCCUGUCUUUA